GGUCGAUGUCUUUUGGCAUCUCUGAGCUGCAGAAACAAGGUGUCGACGGAUGGUUUAAGUUGCUGGGCCAAGAGGAAGGGGAGUAUUUCAACGUUCCAGUUCCACCAGACGGAGAGGAGGGCAAUGAAGAACUGCGGCAGAAAUUUGAGAGAGCCAAGAUUGGCCCUGGCACUAAGAAUACAGAUGGCUCUUCAAAGAAUGACAUCUCCAAAUACGAUA